rnacentral:rRNA from 1 species
GACGAACGCUGGCGGCGUGCCUAAUACAUGCAAGUCGAACGAACUCUGGUAUUGAUUGGUGCUUGCAUCAUGAUUUACAUUUGAGUGAGUGGCGAACUGGUGAGUAACACGUGGGAAACCUGCCCAGAAGCGGGGGAUAACACCUGGAAACAGAUGCUAAUACCGCAUAACAACUUGGACCGCAUGGUCCGAGUUUGAAAGAUGGCUUCGGCUAUCACUUUUGGAUGGUCCCGCGGCGUAUUAGCUAGAUGGUGGGGUAACGGCUCACCAUGGCAAUGAUACGUAGCCGACCUGAGAGGGUAAUCGGCCACAUUGGGACUGAGACACGGCCCAAACUCCUACGGGAGGCAGCAGUAGGGAAUCUUCCACAAUGGACGAAAGUCUGAUGGAGCAACGCCGCGUGAGUGAAGAAGGGUUUCGGCUCGUAAAACUCUGUUGUUAAAGAAGAACAUAUCUGAGAGUAACUGUUCAGGUAUUGACGGUAUUUAACCAGAAAGUCACGGCUAACUACGUGCCAGCAGCCGCGGUAAUACGUAGGUGGCAAGCGUUGUCCGGAUUUAUUGGGCGUAAAGCGAGCGCAGGCGGUUUUUUAAGUCUGAUGUGAAAGCCUUCGGCUCAACCGAAGAAGUGCAUCGGAAACUGGGAAACUUGAGUGCAGAAGAGGACAGUGGAACUCCAUGUGUAGCGGUGAAAUGCGUAGAUAUAUGGAAGAACACCAGUGGCGAAGGCGGCUGUCUGGUCUGUAACUGACGCUGAGGCUCGAAAGUAUGGGUAGCAAACAGGAUUAGAUACCCUGGUAGUCCAUACCGUAAACGAUGAAUGCUAAGUGUUGGAGGGUUUCCGCCCUUCAGUGCUGCAGCUAACGCAUUAAGCAUUCCGCCUGGGGAGUACGGCCGCAAGGCUGAAACUCAAAGGAAUUGACGGGGGCCCGCACAAGCGGUGGAGCAUGUGGUUUAAUUCGAAGCUACGCGAAGAACCUUACCAGGUCUUGACAUACUAUGCAAAUCUAAGAGAUUAGACGUUCCCUUCGGGGACAUGGAUACAGGUGGUGCAUGGUUGUCGUCAGCUCGUGUCGUGAGAUGUUGGGUUAAGUCCCGCAACGAGCGCAACCCUUAUUAUCAGUUGCCAGCAUUAAGUUGGGCACUCUGGUGAGACUGCCGGUGACAAACCGGAGGAAGGUGGGGAUGACGUCAAAUCAUCAUGCCCCUUAUGACCUGGGCUACACACGUGCUACAAUGGAUGGUACAACGAGUUGCGAACUCGCGAGAGUAAGCUAAUCUCUUAAAGCCAUUCUCAGUUCGGAUUGUAGGCUGCAACUCGCCUACAUGAAGUCGGAAUCGCUAGUAAUCGCGGAUCAGCAUGCCGCGGUGAAUACGUUCCCGGGCCUUGUACACACCGCCCGUCACACCAUGAGAGUUUGUAACACCCAAAGUCGGUGGGGUAACCUUUUAGGAACCAGCCGCCUAAGGUGGGACAGAUGAUUAGGGUG